UUAAGCGACUAAGCGUACACGGUGGAUGCCCUGGCAGUCAGAGGCGAUGAAGGACGUGCUAAUCUGCGAAAAGCGUCGGUAAGGUGAUAUGAACCGUUAUAGCCGGCGAUGUCCGAAUGGGGAAACCCAGUGCAAUUCGUUGCACUAUCGUUAACUGAAUACAUAGGUUAACGAGGCGAACCGGGGGAACUGAAACAUCUAAGUACCCCGAGGAAAAGAAAUCAACCGAGAUUCCCCCAGUAGCGGCGAGCGAACGGGGAGCAGCCCGGAGUCUGAAUCAGCUUGUGUGCUAGUGGAAGCGUCUGGAAAGUCGCAGGGUACAGGGUGAUACUCCCGUACACUAAAGCACACAGGUUGUGAACUCGAAGAGUAGGGCGGGACACGUGGUAUCCUGUCUGAAUAUGGGGGGACCAUCCUCCAAGGCUAAAUACUCCUGACUGACCGAUAGUGAACCAGUACCGUGAGGGAAAGGCGAAAAGAACCCCGGCGAGGGGAGUGAAAAAGAACCUGAAACCGUGUACGUACAAGCAGUAGGAGCCCACUAGUUGGGUGACUGCGUACCUUUUGUAUAAUGGGUCAGCGACUUAUAUUCUGUAGCAAGGUUAACCGUAUAGGGGAGCCGCAGGGAAACCGAGUCUUAACUGGGCGUUAAGUUGCAGGGUAUAGACCCGAAACCCGGUGAUCUAGCCAUGGGCAGGUUGAAGGUUGGGUAACACUAACUGGAGGACCGAACCGACUAAUGUUGAAAAAUUAGCGGAUGACUUGUGGCUGGGGGUGAAAGGCCAAUCAAACCGGGAGAUAGCUGGUUCUCCCCGAAAGCUAUUUAGGUAGCGCCUCGUGAACUCAUCUUCGGGGGUAGAGCACUGUUUCGGCUAGGGGGUCAUCCCGACUUACCAACCCGAUGCAAACUACGAAUACCGAAGAAUGUUAUCACGGGAGACACACGGCGGGUGCUAACGUCCGUCGUGAAGAGGGAAACAACCCAGACCGCCAGCUAAGGUCCCAAAGUCAUGGUUAAGUGGGAAACGAUGUGGGAAGGCCCAGACAGCCAGGAUGUUGGCUUAGAAGCAGCCAUCAUUUAAAGAAAGCGUAAUAGCUCACUGGUCGAGUCGGCCUGCGCGGAAGAUGUAACGGGGCUAAACCAUGCACCGAAGCUGCGGCAGCGACACUAUGUGUUGUUGGGUAGGGGAGCGUUCUGUAAGCCGUUGAAGGUGGCCUGUGAGGGUUGCUGGAGGUAUCAGAAGUGCGAAUGCUGACAUAAGUAACGAUAAUGCGGGUGAAAAACCCGCACGCCGGAAGACCAAGGGUUCCUGUCCAACGUUAAUCGGGGCAGGGUGAGUCGACCCCUAAGGCGAGGCCGAAAGGCGUAGUCGAUGGGAAACAGGUUAAUAUUCCUGUACUCGGUGUUACUGCGAAGGGGGGACGGAGAAGGCUAUGUUGGCCGGGCGACGGUUGUCCCGGUUUAAGCAUGUAGGCGGAUGUUCCAGGUAAAUCCGGAACGUCACUAACGCUGAGGUGUGAUGACGAGGCACUACGGUGCUGAAGUGACAAAUGCCCUGCUUCCAGGAAAAGCCUCUAAGCAUCAGGUAACAUCAAAUCGUACCCCAAACCGACACAGGUGGUCAGGUAGAGAAUACCAAGGCGCUUGAGAGAACUCGGGUGAAGGAACUAGGCAAAAUGGUGCCGUAACUUCGGGAGAAGGCACGCUGAUGGUAGGUGAAGCGACUUGCUCGUGGAGCUGAAAUCAGUCGAAGAUACCAGCUGGCUGCAACUGUUUAUUAAAAACACAGCACUGUGCAAACACGAAAGUGGACGUAUACGGUGUGACGCCUGCCCGGUGCCGGAAGGUUAAUUGAUGGGGUUAUCCGUAAGGAGAAGCUCUUGAUCGAAGCCCCGGUAAACGGCGGCCGUAACUAUAACGGUCCUAAGGUAGCGAAAUUCCUUGUCGGGUAAGUUCCGACCUGCACGAAUGGCGUAAUGAUGGCCAGGCUGUCUCCACCCGAGACUCAGUGAAAUUGAACUCGCUGUGAAGAUGCAGUGUACCCGCGGCAAGACGGAAAGACCCCGUGAACCUUUACUAUAGCUUGACACUGAACACUGGUCCUUGAUGUGUAGGAUAGGUGGGAGGCUUUGAAGUGUGGACGCCAGUCUGCAUGGAGCCAUCCUUGAAAUACCACCCUUUAAUGGCUGGUGUUCUAACGUGGGCCCCUAAUCGGGGUUGCGGACAGUGUCUGGUGGGUAGUUUGACUGGGGCGGUCUCCUCCUAAAGAGUAACGGAGGAGCACGAAGGUCAGCUAAUCCUGGUCGGACAUCAGGAGGUUAGUGCAAUGGCAUAAGCUGGCUUGACUGCGAGCGUGACGGCGCGAGCAGGUGCGAAAGCAGGUCAUAGUGAUCCGGUGGUUCUGAAUGGAAGGGCCAUCGCUCAACGGAUAAAAGGUACUCCGGGGAUAACAGGCUGAUACCGCCCAAGAGUUCAUAUCGACGGCGGUGUUUGGCACCUCGAUGUCGGCUCAUCACAUCCUGGGGCUGAAGUAGGUCCCAAGGGUAUGGCUGUUCGCCAUUUAAAGUGGUACGCGAGCUGGGUUUAGAACGUCGUGAGACAGUUCGGUCCCUAUCUGCCGUGGGCGCUGGAGAAUUGAGGGGGGCUGCUCCUAGUACGAGAGGACCGGAGUGGACGCAUCACUGGUGUUCGGGUUGUCAUGCCAAUGGCAUUGCCCGGUAGCUAAAUGCGGAAGAGAUAAGUGCUGAAAGCAUCUAAGCACGAAACUUGCCCCGAGAUGAGUUCUCCCUGACUCCUUGAGAGUCCUGAAGGAACGUUGAAGACGACGACGUUGAUAGGCCGGGUGUGUAAGCGCAGCGAUGCGUUGAGCUAACCGGUACUAAUGAACCGUGAGGCUUAACCUU
rnacentral:rRNA from 1 species